GCAACGGGAGCUUACCAUGCAGUCGAACGGCAGCACGGACUUCGGUCUGGUGGCGAGUGGCGAACGGGUGAGUAAUGUAUCGGAACGUGCCCAGUAGCGGGGGAUAACUACGCGAAAGCGUAGCUAAUACCGCAUACGCCCUACGGGGGAAAGCAGGGGAUCGCAAGACCUUGCACUAUUGGAGCGGCCGAUAUCGGAUUAGCUAGUUGGUGGGGUAACGGCUCACCAAGGCGACGAUCCGUAGCUGGUUUGAGAGGACGACCAGCCACACUGGGACUGAGACACGGCCCAGACUCCUACGGGAGGCAGCAGUGGGGAAUUUUGGACAAUGGGGGAAACCCUGAUCCAGCCAUCCCGCGUGUGCGAUGAAGGCCUUCGGGUUGUAAAGCACUUUUGGCAGGAAAGAAACGUCGCGGGUUAAUACCCCGCGAAACUGACGGUACCUGCAGAAUAAGCACCGGCUAACUACGUGCCAGACGCC
rnacentral:rRNA from 1 species